CCUUAAUCCCUUACAGGGACAAGGAGCUGGUAUCAGGCACAAUAAUUAGCCCAAAACACCUAGCUAUGCCACACCCACAAGGAACUCCAGCAGUAACCAACAUUGAACAUAAGCGACAGCUUGAUUCAGUUAGAGUGAAGAGGGCCGGCAAAUGUGGUGCCAGCCGCCGCGGUUAUACCAUACGACCCAAGUUGACCUUACAGCGGCGUAAAGCGUGAUUAAAGUUACCCUGCCACUAUAGUUAAACUACAAAUUAGCUGUAAAACGCUUUUUACCUAGUAGACCCAAAAACGAAAGUUACUAUAUACAAAACAACUUGAAUUCACUACAGUUAGGGCACAAACUAGGAUUAGAUACCCUACUAUGCCUAACCAUAAACCUUCAACCUACACUAACAUCGCCAGGUGACUACGAGCAAAGCUUAAAACCCAAAGGACUUGACGGUACCCCACAUCCCCCUAGAGGAGCCUGUCCUUUAAAUCGAUAGUCCCCGAUUGACCUCACCAUUUUUAGCCCUCAGUCUGUAUACCUCCGUCGUCAGCUUACCGCAUGAGCGACACAAAGUGAGCUUAAUGUUCAAACAUCAACACGUCAGGUCAAGGUGCAGCUUAUAAAAUGGGAAGAGAUGGGCUACACUCUCUAAUGUAGAGCAUACGAAAAACACUCUGAAAACCAGCUGGAAGGUGGAUUUAGAAGUAAAAAGAGAUUAGAAAGCUCUUUUUAACAGAGCACUGGGGUGCGCACACACCGCCCGUCACCCUCUUCGCAGCAUAUAGCCAGUACUUAACACACUUAAGACAUAGUAGAAGAGGCAAGUCG
rnacentral:rRNA from 1 species